UGGGUGCUGUGAAUGUGUGUGGGUGCUGUGUAUGUGUGUGGGUGCUGUGGACAUACACAGCACCCACACACAUACACAGCACCCACACACAUUCAG
rnacentral:miRNA from 1 species